rnacentral:rRNA from 1 species
CGUGCCGGGGGAGCUACACAUGCAGUCGAGGGGCAGCAUAGAGUAGCAAUACUUUGAUGGCGACCGGCGCACGGGUGAGUAACGCGUAUGUAACCUACCUUGUACAGGGGGAUAGCCCGGAGAAAUUCGGAUUAAUACCCCAUAAUGAUAUUUUGAGGCAUCUUAGGAUAUUUAAAGUUUCGACGGUACGAGAUGGGCAUGCGUGACAUUAGCUAGUUGGUAAGGUAACGGCUUACCAAGGCUGCGAUGUCUAGGGGUCCUGAGAGGGUGAUCCCCCACACUGGUACUGAGACACGGACCAGACUCCUACGGGAGGCAGCAGUGAGGAAUAUUGGUCAAUGGGCGUAAGCCUGAACCAGCCAUCCCGCGUGAAGGAAGACGGCGCUAUGCGUUGUAAACUUCUUUUCCGGAGGAAUAAAAUUUCGUACGUGUACGGGACUGAAGGUACUCCGGGAAUAAGCAUCGGCUAACUCCGUGCCAGCAGCCGCGGUAAUACGGAGGAUGCGAGCGUUAUCCGGAUUUAUUGGGUUUAAAGGGUGCGUAGGCGGAUUAAUAAGUCAGUGGUGAAAACCUUCAGCUUAACUGGAGAACUGCCAUUGAUACUGUUAGUCUUGAGUACGGUCAAGGUAGGCGGAAUGUGUAAUGUAGCGGUGAAAUGCUUAGAUAUUACACAGAACACCGAUUGCGAAGGCAGCUUACUGGACCAUUACUGACGCUGAUGCACGAAAGCGUGGGGAGCGAACAGGAUUAGAUACCCUGGUAGUCCACGCCGUAAACGAUGAUCACUCGCUGUUAGCGAUACACAGUUAGCGGCUAAGCAAAAGCAUUAAGUGAUCCACCUGGGGAGUACGGCCGCAAGGCUGAAACUCAAAGGAAUUGACGG